GGUUCCGUAGUGUAGUGGUUAUCACGUUCGCUUCACACGCGUAAGGUCUCCGUUUCAAUCCUGGACGGAACCA